rnacentral:rRNA from 1 species
CCCUUAGAUGUUCUGGGCCGCACGCGCGCUACACUGAUGAAUUCAACGAGUUUCUUCCUGGUCCGAGAGGAAUGGGUAACCUUUUGAAAGUGCAUCGUGAUAGGGAUAGACUAUUGCAAUUAUUGGUCUUCAACGAGGAAUUCCUAGUAGACGUAGUUCAUCAGACUGCAUCGAUUACGUCCCUGCCCUUUGUACACACCGCCCGUCGCUCCUACCGAUUGAAUGCUCAGGUGAGCCAUUCGGACUUUCAUCAUGCUGGUUUCCAGUUUUGAUGAAGGAAAGUCUUGCGAACCUUAUCAUUUAGAGGAAGGAGAAGUCGUAACA